CCUACGGGUGACAGCAGUGAGGAAUAUUGGUCAAUGGACGAGAGUCUGAACCAGCCAAGUAGCGUGAAGGAUGACUGCCCUAUGGGUUGUAAACUUCUUUUAUAUGGGAAUAAAAUGUUCCACGUGUGGGAUUUUGUAUGUACCAUAUGAAUAAGGAUCGGCUAACUCCGUGCCAGCAGCCGCGGUAAUACGGAGGAUCCGAGCGUUAUCCGGAUUUAUUGGGUUUAAAGGGAGCGUAGGUGGAUUGUUAAGUCAGUUGUGAAAGUUUGCGGCUCAACCGUAAAAUUGCAGUUGAAACUGGCAGUCUUGAGUACAGUAGAGGUGGGCGGAAUUUGUGGUGUAGCGGUGAAAUGCUUAGAUAUCACGAAGAACUCCGAUUGCGAAGGCAGUUCACUGGACUGCAACUGACACUGAGGCUCGAAAGUGUGGGUAUCAAACAGGAUUAGAUACCCCUGUAGUC
rnacentral:rRNA from 1 species